rnacentral:rRNA from 1 species
AGUGAACGCUGGCGGUAGGCCUAACACAUGCAAGUCGAACGGCAGCACAGUAAGAGCUUGCUCUUACGGGUGGCGAGUGGCGGACGGGUGAGGAAUACAUCGGAAUCUACUUUUUCGUGGGGGAUAACGUAGGGAAACUUACGCUAAUACCGCAUACGACCUACGGGGGAAAGCAGGGGAUCUUCGGACCUUGCGCGAUUGAAUGAGCCGAUGUCGGAUUAGCUAGUUGGCGGGGUAAAGGCCCACCAAGGCGACGAUCCGUAGCUGGUCUGAGAGGAUGAUCAGCCACACUGGAACUGAGACACGGUCCAGACUCCUACGGGAGGCAGCAGUGGGGAAUAUUGGACAAUGGGCGCAAGCCUGAUCCAGCCAUACCGCGUGGGUGAAGAAGGCCUUCGGGUUGUAAAGCCCUUUUGUUGGGAAAGAAAAGCAGCAGGUUAAUACCCCGCUGUUCCGACGGUACCCAAAGAAUAAGCACCGGCUAACUUCGUG